rnacentral:rRNA from 1 species
AUUGAACGCUGGCGGCAUGCCUUACACAUGCAAGUCGAACGGUAACAGGGAGCUUGCUCCGCUGACGAGUGGCGAACGGGUGAGUAAUAUAUCGGAACGUACCCAGAAGUGGGGGAUAACGUAGCGAAAGUUACGCUAAUACCGCAUACGAUCCACGGAUGAAAGUAGGGGACCUUCGGGCCUUAUGCUUUUGGAGCGGCCGAUAUCUGAUUAGCUAGUUGGUGAGGUAAAGGCUCACCAAGGCGACGAACAGUAGCGGGUCUGAGAGGACGACCAGCCACACUGGAACUGAGACACGGUCCAGACUCCUACGGGAGGCAGCAGUGGGGAAUUUUGGACAAUGGGCGCAAGCCUGAUCCAGCAAUGCCGCGUGAGUGAAGAAGGCCUUCGGGUUGUAAAGCUCUUUUGUCAGGGAAGAAACGGUAGAGGCUAAUAUCCUUUGCUAAUGACGGUACCUGAAGAAUAAGCACCGGCUAACUACGUGCCAGCCGCCGCCGUAACAC